AUGAUUAUCUGUAUCCUCAAUAGGCACAUAUGUAUCAACUCGGGCGAACCCUUGAACCACCAUCUCCCUAAUCUUUUCACGUUUUUUUCAAAACAACAUCAACCACCCAUGAACCUAAAAACACCCACAACAACAGAGACAAUUGUGCAAACAUUUGGUGUGCUAAAUUUCACAACGACGUCCACCUUUCCUCCGAUUGUCUCAGCCGUCGAUAAUUUUGCUUUCCUCUUUACUCACAUUUGA